rfam:Trichobilharzia regenti genome assembly, scaffold: TRE_scaffold0044369
AUCCAGCUGAAGGACGAGUCCCAAAUAGGACGAAAUGCGCGUUGUCCUGGAU